rnacentral:rRNA from 1 species
UGGGGAAUUUUGCACAAUGGGGGAAACCCUGAUGCAGCGACGCCGCGUGAUUUAGAAGGCCUUCGGGUUGUAAAAAUCUUUUUUACGGGAUGAAAAUGACAGUACCGUAAGAAUAAGGUCCGGCUAAAUACGUGCCAGCAGCCGCGGUAAUACGUAUGGACCGAGCGUUGUCCGGAAUCAUUGGGCGUAAAGGGUACGUAGGCGGCCUAGUAAGUUAGAAGUUAAAGAAUAUAGCUCAACUAUAUAAAGCUUUUAAAACUGCUAGGGUUGGGUGGUGGGAAGGAAACAAGAAAUUCUAGUGGAGGGGUGAAAUACGCAGGUAAUAGGAAGAAUUACAGUGACGAAGGCGACUUUCUGGUCAUCAUCUGACGCUGAGGUACGAAAGCGUGGGUAGCAAACAGG